CUCACGCCCAAAUCGAACCCAGCUGGAGCUGAGCUCUGUCUCCCUCAAAAUCAUAUCAUCAUAUCACACUUUAAAUCCUCCAGUACCCCAAACAGCAUAUGGGCCUUGAUGAGUAUUUCUGUAGACUACAAAGAGAAAUAUUUGAGGUGAUUUCUACGCCUAACCAAUGUUAACAACGAGAUAGGUGCUAUCAAUUAUCAGAUGCCAUCAGAUGCUUCAGGCACAUAGUCUCUAACAGUGCAAAUAUCACCAUCUGACAUUCAGUCAAAUCGUUUUGCUCCACGAUAAGUUUUCAACUGUUCAUCUGUGAGUUAGCUAACAUCUUGAGUAUUUACUGAGCUGUGUUUCCUUGGUGAGCUAGAUAUGUUCUCUCCCCUCCCUUUUGUUAUCUGGACAUUACAAUUAGAGAAACAAAAAUACAGUUCGAAAUCGGAGCAUGAAAAACUCAUUCAUAACUGAUAAUGUCGUAGACACUGAAAGACAAGGCCAAGCAGCAGCUACUUCUUCAGACCAUCGGGGCAAAGUCAGAAAUCUUUUAUCUAUAAUUUAUUCCCAUACUGCUGCUCCAUGCGCACACAGGCAGGUGUGUGAGUGAGUUACAGUGACAGUCUAGUUCUUUGUUUCUCAUGAUUGAUGAUAACAGCUUUUUAGGUUACUAUGACUAUACAAGAUCAUGAAUAUAAUUGUGCCUCAGUAUUGUUUUAUAGUAAUUAUGUGCCUGCAAUGCAAUAGCAUUGAAGGCAUAUCCUGCAUGCUUACUCGACUUAUUCAUCUUCUAUAUCUAAAUUUCGGCGCGUAACUUCUGCAGUUUUGAGAAAACACAGACAAUAUACAUAUCAGUAUGUGCGGUUCAAUCGGUAAUGGUGUGCUAUGACUUUUCUUAGCGAUUUGAGUAACCAUAGUGAAGUAAAUGGCAAUAAAAGGUGAAGAAAUUACCAAAGAAAAUGAAUGGGAAAAUAUCUUCAAAAUGACCAAGCCCAGCCCUCUACUGCUGCAUCAUACUUCAACAUAGAAAAAUGGUUGAAACAGUUCACAAGACUUGAGACUCUUUUGGGUUAAAUCGGUAUUUUGACUCCUAUUACAGUUUACACAAAAUCACAGUUUACGUUUUGUGUAAUUUUUACACCAUUUCAGACUUUAUAUGGGUGUGUAUUGCACGGAAUGUUCAGAGCUAGAGUUGAUGACAUCACAGCUAGAGUGGGAGAAGCUCUAGAACUCCUCUGAAAAAAUUCAGUUUAACUCGUCCUUCUGGCCACAUAUUUCAGUCUUCACACAUCAUGGCUUCCUCAGUAGUAGACAAAUUUAUGCUGUUUCAUAGAAAGUGUCUACCUAAGCACAGAGACUUACAAAAUUUGAACAGUGAGCCUCAAAGUGAUGGGAGUACCCUCCACCUCUCCCAUUGACUGCAAUACAAAUUCAGGAGCUGAUUUCAGAAGAAAAACAGAUGUGUUGCUUAUUUGUAACUCGCUACUGUGUCCACAUUUUUGGCUCUACAAACACCAAAGCAGGAUAUUCAGUGCACGGAGGUCUUGUGUCGGUCAUGGUCUGCUCAUGCUUCUGAUAAGAGUUACAAUUUUUUCAGAAAUAUCAGUUAUUUGAGAGGCUUGCCGAGCCAAAAUCUCACUUAGCUCUGUGUCAGCUCUGUUUUCCUGCCAGACACGGGUGUUGAAACAGCUCAUCAAGAGACUCUAGAUCUGUGUGAUGUUUAUAAACACACACACACACACACACACACACACACACACACACACACACACACACACACACAUACUACUAACACAGUAUGGAGAAAUGGACAAAGCUGAUUCUUAAUGGCUAAUAAUUAACACUUACCGUUAUCACUCUCAAGUAUGAGAGCAUCUAUAAGGCAAAUCAGCAGUGUAUAUGUGUGUGUGUUCAUGUUUUUCUAUGAUUGUGAGGACAAUUUCGUUAAGAACAGAUUUUUGUACACAUAUAUGUACACACAUACUGACAGACACACAAACCAGCUCCACCUUUGGAUAUUCAACUUAUAAAAAAAAUCAUUAUUUUGGCAUCUGAUUUUUCAAAACACACAAUUAAUAUAAGCUGCUUUUUCAACCUUUUUAGAAUUGUGGUGAGGUGAUCUUUUCAAUAGGACUUGUAGAUAUCCCUCUAAUAUCCCAUUUUCAAACACAAGUUUCUUCUUAAAAGCUGUUGACUGCCCAGGGAGACGGAGGGGAUUGUAUGUGUGUGUUUCUCUCAUCUGCCUGGUGGCUGCAGUUGCCAGUGGCAACCAGUGUCUCAGCAAGUGCUACUCAGCAGGUGUUCUGGGCAGAAAUGGGCAAAACUGAUUCUGAUGGUUAAUUAGGCUCAUUAAUUCUUACCACGUUCAACGGCAGAGAAGCAAAACACGGGUGUUUUUCCACCGCUGGAGACAGCUCUGGGCAAGUAAAGAGAUGCAGUUUGACGCCGAGCUGCAACUUUUCUUUUAGACUGGACCAGAAUUCCAGUCCAGCCUUCCCCAAUGAUGGACCAGCACCUGCUUUUUCUUCUGAGUCUGACCUCAUCAAUCAUCGACAACCACAUUACAGUAACACCUUGGAGUAUUAUUCCUGCACAGAACACAUAUUGUCUGUACUGUGAUCUUUUGCACAUCCUGCUCAGCAGGAGUUUUGUCAACACUUUUGUACAUAGUUUUUUUCAUUGUUUUAUUUUUUCUAAUAUGUGUAUCUAUGUAUAUUUAUCAUUUUGACUGUUGCAGUUUUUUACCUUUUUAUUGUUAUUUCCUGUUAACCCAUUUAUACCCAAUGCUGCGUAGCGCAACAUUGAGUCUCCUGCCGGCUGCUGCAUAGCGCAGCAUUGUUGAUUCCUCAUCAUUUUCAUAUAUAUUAUACAUAGAUAUAUUUAUACAUAUUUUACAUAUUUAUAUGCUGCAUGCAUCAUGAAAAUUACGAGGAAUCAACAAUGCUGCGCUACGCAGCAGCCGGCAGGAGACUCAAUGCUACGCAGCAAUCGGCGGGAGGGACAAUGUUGCGCUACGCAGCAUCCGGUAUAAAUGGGUUAACAUGUUUAUUGUAUGCUGCACCAAACACCAAGCCAAAUAUCUUGUAAGUUAAAACCUACCUGGCAAUAAACCUUAUUUUCUGA